rnacentral:rRNA from 1 species
AUUGAACGCUGGCGGCGUGCUUAACACAUGCAAGUCGAUCGGUAACAGGUGUAGCAAUACAUGCUGACGAGAGGCGGACGGGUGAGUAAUGCUUGGGAAUCUGCCUAUUAGUGGGGGACAACCCGGGGAAACUCGGGCUAAUACCGCAUACGCUCUACGGAGGAAAGCCGGGGACCGCAAGGCCUGGCGCUAAUAGAUGAGCCCAAGUCGGAUUAGCUAGUUGGUAGGGUAACGGCCUACCAAGGCGACAAUCCGUAGCUGGUCUGAGAGGACGACCAGCCACACCGGAACUGAGACACGGUCCGGACUCCUACGGGAGGCAGCAGUGGGGAAUAUUGGACAAUGGGGGCAACCCUGAUCCAGCGACGCCGCGUGGGUGAAGAAGGCCUGCGGGUUGUAAAGCCCUUUCGGUGGGGAAGAAAAGUCUCGACCU